UACGAAGGGGGCUAGCGUUGUUCGGAAUUACUGGGCGUAAAGCGCACGUAGGCGGGUUGUUAAGUCAGGGGUGAAAUCCUGGAGCUCAACUCCAGAACUGCCUUUGAUACUGGCAACCUAGAGACUGGAAGAGGUUAGUGGAAUUCCCAGUGUAGAGGUGAAAUUCGUAGAUAUUGGGAAAGAACACCAGUGGCGAAGGCGGCUAACUGGUCCAGCACUGACGCUGAGGUGCGAAAGCGUGGGGAG
rnacentral:rRNA from 1 species